AGUUGUGCGGGUUCAGACCCGCAGCGGAAAGCUCAGUAACACGUGGCCAAACUACCCUGUGGAUGGGAAUAAUCUCGGGAAACUGAGGCUAAUUCCCAAUAAUGCUCCACCCCUGGAAUGGGUGGAGCUGGAAACGCUACGGCGCCACAGGAUGUGGCUGCGGUCGAUUAGGUAGACGGUGGGGUAACGGCCCACCGUGCCAAUAAUCGGUACGGGUUGUGAGAGCAAGAGCCCGGAGACGGAAUCUGAGACAAGAUUCCGGGCCCUACGGGGCGCAGCAGGCGCGAAACCUUUACACUGUACGCAAGUGCGAUAAGGGGACUCCGAGUGUGAAGGCAUAGAGCCUUCACUUUUGUACACCGUAAGGUGGUGCACGAAUAAGGGCUGGGCAAGACCGGUGCCAGCCGCCGCGGUAAUACCGGCAGCCCGAGUGAUGGCCGAUAUUAUUGGGCCUAAAGCGUCCGUAGCUGGCCGGACAAGUCCGUUGGGAAAUCUGUCCGCUUAACGGGCAGGCGUCCAGCGGAAACUGUUCGGCUUGGGACCGGAAGACCUGAGGGGUACGUCCGGGGUAGGAGUGAAAUCCUGUAAUCCUGGACGGACCGCCGGUGGCGAAAGCGCCUCAGGAGGACGGAUCCGACAGUGAGGGACGAAAGCUAGGGUCUCGAACCGGAUUAGAUACCCGGGUAGUCCUAGCUGUAAACGAUGCCCGCUAGGUGUGGCGCAGGCUACGAGCCUGCGCUGUGCCGUAGGGAAGCCGAGAAGCGGGCCGCCUGGGAAGUACGUCUGCAAGGAUGAAACUUAAAGGAAUUGGCGGGGGAGCACUACAACCGGAGGAGCCUGCGGUUUAAUUGGACUCAACGCCGGACAUCUCACCAGCUCCGACAGU
rnacentral:rRNA from 1 species